rnacentral:ribozyme from 1 species
GAUGAUGCCGUGGAAGCCAUUGUUUCGGCAAUGCAGUAUCGAGCCGAACAGCCAAUCAUGAUCACUGUACCGGCAGAAACGACCACUUUGGCCGG